GCUACACACUGAACAUAUGGCAGUCUGUAGCAGGAGGACACACACACACACACACACACACACACAUCAACUGUCACAAGCUUUUAACGGUCAACUGCCGUAAAACCAGCGCACGCCUCCGACUGUCGUAGACCACGUGGUCGAGUCCAUCAAACACACAAACUGUCCCUUUAAGUAUGACGGUUUUUUAAAUUUUUUUAAACAUCCUAAAUUAGGAAACCGUUUCAACAAGUCGCUCUUUGUCUUCCUUCCCGUUACAGAAGAGUGAAACACGUCUUCAGAAAGCCUCCCUUCAACGGACUGAAUCAGCGGGAUGAUAAAAAAAAAAAAAAAGCAGGUGCAGCCCGUGAAUGCAUUCGAGGGCUUCGACGCGGCGCGUUGGCGAGGGAAUCCCUGCCCCCCCCCUUCCCCUCCCCCCACCCGAAGACAAAACAACAUCAGGAGGAAUAAAGGCAGGCUUAUUUAUUUCCAAAACGUAUACAAAGUCCAGACAACGCGACACUGUGGGAGUUUCUACUGGAUGCAAAUAAAGAAACUCUCCUGUGGAAACAAUGCAAACGACCUCAAAGAAGGCAAAAACAACAUCAGGACGCAUGCAAAGCGGCAGCCGGAGGACACGAGGCCAUGAAAAAGAGAAAGAAGUGCGGAUUGAAGCAGUUUAACGACGUGUAAAAAGCACAAGUUUGACGCAAAUGAAGCAGACAAAGAAGAGUGGGAGGCACGGAGGCCCAGUCACAGUUCCGAAGCUACGAUUGGACGAUCUGUGUAUUAGGGGCGGGGCUUAACAGGCCGUCCUACCUUGGAGUCGUAGGCGGACUGCUGGAUGACC